rnacentral:tRNA from 1 species
GCCCUCGUCGUUUAAUGGACAGGACGCGAACUUGCGGAGUUUGUAAUGCUGGUUCGAUUCCAGCCGAGGGCA